rnacentral:rRNA from 1 species
UACGAAGGGGGCUAGCGUUGUUCGGAUUUACUGGGCGUAAAGCGCGUGUAGGCGGAUUUGUAAGUUGGGGGGUGAAAUCCCGAGGCUCAACCUCGGAACUGCCUCCAAAACUACAAGUCUGGACCUAAGUAGAGGCAAGUGGAAUUGCGAGUGUAGAGGUGAAAUUCGUAGAUAUUCGCAGGAACACCAGUGGCGAAGGCGACUUGCUGGACUUAUGGUGACGCUGAG